UCAAAAUUUCAUAAUACAUUGGAAUUCUUGUUUAAUCUAAAUAUUUAUACUUUUCUAAAGCAAAACUCUUCAUUCUCGUUCCAUAAAACGGUCCUGAAUUCAUUUAAAAUCUUGUAUCAAACGGGAGAUUGGGAAUGUGAAGCAAACAGUGCUCGUUGUUACGCAAACAUGUCAUAUACCGCAUACGAGUUCCAAAGAGAACAGAUUUCGUAUUGAUAAUUCGUAUAUCCGCACAGCAUGCUCGCAAUCGUUUUCACGAGUGUGAAAGGGAGUAUUGCUGGGUGUGAUAACAAACGGACAAGCAUACGCAUCUGUAUGAUUAUUUUUUAAUGAUAACAUGAUACACGAAAGAGAGUAUUCUAAAUUUGUUCGAGCUGUUUCUACGCAAAAUAUCGUACAACAUCGUCUCACGUAGAUUGCUCGGUUACAGGUUAUGAACAAAAUGGCAUCAAUGAUAGUCUCGAGAUGCGAGCAGCAAAGCUAAUUAAUCGUUACAAUGAUUUUACGCAAUGAUAAUGACGAUUCGUGAUCGGACGAAGUGCAAGUGAGAUGAAAUGGAGGAAAGAAAAAAAGAGAGAAAAAAUGAAAGAGAAAGAAUAGGAGAGAAGAACGUCUCGAUGAAUAUAAAAGGUAAUCUACGAUAUUCUUUUCCAUUUAAAAUUAUUUCCAAGAUUUGUUACAUGGAACAAAUUGUGUAGACAUAUAUCGUUCGAUUCGUUCGAUCGUUUUACCAUUAAAAUUACACGGAAGAAUAGAGAUUCGAUGGCGUUAUAGCAGAAAUGGUUGUAACCGCUACUUACGUACACGUACCUAAUGACAUUACCUAUAAGGACAUUGCGGUAAUUGGGAGAGGGACACCGCGGUGUCUAGAUGCAACCAAAUGCAUGCGUAAUACACCCUACUGACCGCAUAAAUCACUCAAAUGACUAUCUCGAUCGGGGAAGGGACAGCGGCUGGUGGUCAAUACUUGUGCAAGUCUAUAUUGUCAUGGUGGCUAGUAUUACGAUCGGAGACGAUAAACGGUGACAUACUUUCAACGUGUGUGUGUAUGUGUGUAUAUACAAGUUUAUGAGAUGAUAGCUCGUAACUGUAAUACGUGUAUUCCGUUCUUUUCAAAGCACUAUGUAUCGUGCAGAGCAUGAGUAUAGUAUGUACAUGAAUCCUUUGAAAUCGUUCCUUUUUCGUUCUUACUGGGCGUGAAUGAACGUCAAUAGAGGUCUAACGAGUGAAUUUUUCGAUCGGAUGGUAUUUAAUGGGAAAGCAUAACGUAACCGACUACCGUAAAGACACGUGCAUCUGUAACGUUUCUAAAUAUAUAUUCAAUGUACGAUACUCUAACACGAUAUUUCCGUUCACGAGAUAACUUUGAAUUUGUAUAAACGCGAACAAAAAGAAGAAAGAAAACUAGAUGAGAAUUGAUGAUGAUCGAUGAAAAUAAACAGAGAUGGAAUAAACAUAAAACUGACUUAAUUAACCAGAUAGGAAUAAUGGGUUUUUUUUUAUGCUAGAAACCGUCACACAUCGUACAAGUUUUCAAGUCUAUGUUGUAAAUAUCUAAAAGAUGUUAACGGAUGCUAAACUCUCGAACAUGAAACUUUUCUUGCUUACAAUCAACGAUAAAACGCUUCGAAGAUCUUUGAUUUUCCUCGAAAUUUUCGUUCAACUUUUGACGAAAGAGGGAGGAAUCAUGCUUGGUAAUCUGUAUCGUACAGGAUUAUACGGUAAUGCGGAAAAUCAAAGCAACUGAAAACACGGCUAUGAACUUAAUGCUUCUACGUCUUGUUUUUCGCGGACACCAGGCCGCUCUCUAAACCGAGGAGAAAUGGGUUUUCGCGGGAUCAAAAAAAUUUCACCUUUACCGCGUAUACUUGCGCGAAUGUAAUGGACCAAACGCGAUGCUCGUCUAAAUCCAAAGAUAUUUUUGUACCGGUAUUUUUCUCUCCGGUAAACAGUAGCGGGAAUUUUAAGGAAAAAAUUCGAAAGGCUCCGGGAAAAUCACACGUAGAAGGAUUGAAAGGAAAAACUUGACUAGAUGGUGCUAGGAAUGGAAAAUUAAAACGAGUUGCCUGAGGGAUCGUAUUGCGUUGAAUCUGUUACUAAGGGAUUCGCUCGAAAAA
rnacentral:lncRNA from 1 species